rnacentral:rRNA from 1 species
GACGAACGCUGGCGGCGUGCUUAACACAUGCAAGUCGAACGGAAAGGCCCUGCUUUUGUGGGGUGCUCGAGUGGCGAACGGGUGAGUAACACGUGAGUAACCUGCCCUUGACUUUGGGAUAACUUCAGGAAACUGGGGCUAAUACCGGAUAGGAGCUCCUGCUGCAUGGUGGGGGUUGGAAAGUUUCGGCGGUUGGGGAUGGACUCGCGGCUUAUCAGCUUGUUGGUGGGGUAGUGGCUUACCAAGGCUUUGACGGGUAGCCGGCCUGAGGGGGUGACCGGCCACAUUGGGACUGAGAUACGGCCCAGACUCCUACGGGAGGCAGCAGUGGGGAAUAUUGCACAAUGGGCGGAAGCCUGAUGCAGCAACGCCGCGUGCGGGAUGACGGCCUUCGGGUUGUAAACCGCUUUCGCCUGUGACGAAGCGUGAGUGACGGUAAUGGGUAAAGAAGGACCGGCUAACUACGUG